AGUAGGGCAGUUAUUUGAUAACACAACUGUCCUGAAUCCACCUAAUGGAACAGCUUAAAGGUUUGAGUCAGUAAUAGGAACAGAGAGAGAGAGAGCCAUCUUGUGGAAGAUCACUUUACUAUCGUGCAGAUUUGGGUGCCAGACACUUCAGAAGCUAAUUCAGGAGACCUUAUUUUUGCAAUGAGAGACCUCAAUUACAAGUUCCAGCCUGAGAUGUGCAAAAUGCUUGUAAUGAAGCUGCAAACCAUGUGAAAGCAGUGACAAGAUCCUUUGUGUAGCAGAGAGGGGCUCCCGCUUCAAGCAGAAGAAAGAGAGCAGAGGGCAUCUUUCUGAUAAGAGCUGAUGAUGUGGGUCUAGGAAGGUCUGAGCUCUUGAUAAAGUGAAAAUGAAAGUGAUGCCUGAUGUUCCAGCUUCCCCUCCUGAGUUAAGGGGAUGAGCUACACUUUUCAACCCCUGUAUGAG